UGAGCAGAGGAAGCUUCCAGACCCUCCUUAGGGCAUACCUUGGGUCAGCACCGGGUGGCUUCUCUCAUUAAGUUCCUCUGAAGCCGCGCUGUCUCCCGGCAUGGCAAGCUGCUCACGGACGCCCACCUCUUGGGACUUCCUCCAGUUUUUCAGAGCAAGGCCUGGAGUUUCGAGGAGGGAAGCUCCUCACCUUAGAGCCCCGAGGCCGAUUCCCACAGACCUCAGCCUGCAGUAGGGGGCUCCGACACAGAGCAGGGAGCAGCUUCCUUCUCCCGGCCAGCUGGAUCACCAGAAAUGCCGCGCAAGAGGCAGGAGCGUGGGCACAGCUGUCACUCAGCGAGGCCACGGGUCGGCAGGCGGGCGGGGCAGCUGGGGCAUCGCUUGCCAGCCUGUCAGCCU
rnacentral:lncRNA from 1 species